rnacentral:rRNA from 1 species
UACGUAGGGGGCAAGCGUUGUCCGGAUUCAUUGGGCGUAAAGAGCUCGUAGGCGGCUUGGCAAGUCGGGUGUGAAACCUCCAGGCUCAACCUGGAGACGCCACCCGAUACUGCCAUGGCUAGAGUCCGGUAGGGGACCACGGAAUUCCUGGUGUAGCGGUGAAAUGCGCAGAUAUCUGGAGGAACACCGGUGGCGAAGGCGGCGUUCUGGACUGUCUCUGACACUGAAGAACGAAAGCCAGGGGAGCAAACGGG